UACGUAGGGUGCAAGCGUUAAUCGGAAUUACUGGGCGUAAAGUGUGCGCAGGCGGUUAUGCAAGACAGAUGUGAAAUCCCCGGGCUUAACCCUGGAAUUGCAUUUGUGACUGCAUGGCUAGAGUGUGUCAGAGGGGGGUAGAAUUCCACGUGUAGCAGUGAAAUGCGUAGAUAUGUGGAGGAAUACCGAUGGCGAAGGCAGCCCCCUGGGAUAACACUGACGCUCAUGCACGAAAGCGUGGGGAGCAAACAGG
rnacentral:rRNA from 1 species